rnacentral:rRNA from 1 species
CAGCCGCCGCGGUAACACAGAGGGUGCGAGCGUUAAUCGGAUUUACUGGGCGUAAAGCGUGCGUAGGCGGCUUCUUAAGUCGGAUGUGAAAUCCCUGAGCUUAACUUAGGAAUUGCAUUCGAUACUGGGAAGCUAGAGUAUGGGAGAGGAUGGUAGAAUUCCAGGUGUAGCGGUGAAAUGCGUAGAGAUCUGGAGGAAUACCGAUGGCGAAGGCAGCCAUCUGGCCUAAUACUGACGCUGAGGUACGAAAGCAUGGGGAGCAAACAGGAUUAGAGACCCCAGUAGUCCCUGUCUCUUAUAC